GCAAGCCGGAUUAAAGCCUCGCGCUAGAAAACGUAAACAAAACGUGUUUACUCGAGGGCGGACUGAUCCUUUUUUGGCCUUUACUGACUCGCCCUUUCUCCAUCUUCAGCAACUGACAGCGAUGGAGGACGUAGAUAAGUUUAUAUCCUCCAAGCUAGGCACGAAAGAACACUGGGAAUCUACCUAUGAACAAGAGCUGUCAAACUUUAAGAGCCAUGGAGAUAUUGGAGACAUCUGGUUCGGUGAAGACAGCAUGCAGCGUGUCGUAGACUGGAUUCUGGAGUCUGAUGUCAUUAAGGAGCAUUUCUCUGUUCUUGACAUUGGGUGCGGAAAUGGGGCUCUUCUGCUGUGUCUAGGCAGUGAAGGCUUUGAUAGUCUGUAUGGGAUUGAUUAUUGUGAUACUGCCAUAAAGCUUGCAAAAUCCAUAGCAAACAGCAAGAAACUAGACAUCAAAUAUGAGACUGUAGAUUUGCUGGGAGACCACAAGAAAUGUGAAUUAACAGGAAAGAAAUAUGACAUCACCCAUGAUAAGGGUACAUAUGAUACCAUUUCCUUAAAUCCAGUAGAUGCCAUAACCAAGAGACAGCAGUACAUCAAGGAAGUACACAAUCUGACUAAGGACGAUGGCUUAUUCAUUAUCACUUCCUGCAACUGGACUGAAGAAGAGAUUAUUUCUCAUGUAUCAGAUUAACUCUGUGUUAAAAAAAAGAGAGAAAGUUGAAUGAUUUAGGAGAAAAGUGAACUUUUAAGACAUGCAGGCCAAGAACUCCUUCUAGGGGUGGGGAUUAGAGAGAAGUGUUGCUCUAGCAAGUGUCACAACUUUGAGGUGGAGGAAGUGAUCCCGACCCCCACAUUUUCCUUUGGUGGAAAAGUUGGAUCUGUAGUUACUUCUAUUGUUUUCAAGAAAGUUGUCAAUUAAGAUUCAUGCCGUACAAAUUGUAGAUACAUCCAGUAAAG
rnacentral:misc_RNA from 1 species